rnacentral:rRNA from 1 species
UACGUAGGGGGCAAGCGUUGUCCGGAUUUACUGGUCGUAAAGAGCGUGUAGGCGGCCAAACAGGUCCGUUGUGAAAACUGGAGGCUUAACCUCCAGACGUCGACGGAAACCGUAUGGCUAGAGUCCGGAAGAGGAGAGUGGAAUUCCUGGUGUAGCGGUGAAAUGCGCAGAUAUCAGGAAGAACACCCAGUGGCGAAGGCGGCUCUCUGGGACGUGACUGACGCUGAGACGCGAAAGCGUGGGGAGCGAACAGG